GCUUUAUAGAUAAUUUAGAUUCAGCUAAUUUGAAAGUUAAAGGUUAGAUAUAAUUAUUCUAUUUUAUUGGGGUGAUAUGAGUAUAAAUGUUGAUAACUGCUUAAAAUAAAUUCUUUUAUAGGAGAGUUAAAAGUGUAUGAUCCUUCUUAAAGAUUAAGAGACUAAGUU
rnacentral:rRNA from 1 species